CCACGCCCCCAUCUUUUCCGCCUUCGAAUCCUUUUCUUCAACCUCCCACCAAAUAUCCAAUCUGCGGCGGCGGCGCCAAGCUUAUCCCAUCCGUCGCCCGGCCACUCCCACAUCCUAUGCAGCAGCAGCCUCGCCCCGAGCGAUGCCCUCCACCGGCUGCUUCUUCUCUCCUCAAUCGGCGACCUCAGCAGUCAGAUCCCGGCCGGCAUCCGUUGUCCUCCCCAUCACCGCUCCGCCCUCUACAGACGUCGUCCUUGCCGUCGCCAAGCUGGAUCCACGCCGACGUCAACUUCCAGCCAAAACUCCUCCACGCUCCCUCCAAUCCCAUCCCGUCCACAAGUUAUACCAUUAAAUCAACAAGAUCAUUCUUUUGGGAGGAAAGGAGCGAAUACAUUAAUCUGGUUUUCUGGACACUUCAAGCAGUUUGGUCCUUGUUUCAGCUAGCAAAAACAUGGAUGGUACCAUAUUAACGAUGGAAUGUUCUAGUGUAUGCAGGGCAAGAUGGAAAGGUGUGACAGAUUUUAGCGAAAUUUUGAGUUUAAAUCUUGUCGAAAUUAGGCACGUAAAUAUAAUUGCAUAGGCCAAUGAAAAUUGGUAUUGCCAGUGAAGGGUCCGCUGCAAUUCUUAUUCAACAUCUCAGCUGUCCAGCAAAGAAAUCAAGAUUUGGACCAAUUGCAUAUUCCGACAUGGGACAACUAAUGAAUUGUUUCUUGCCGAAACAUGGGCAACCAAUCACAUAUUUGGAGGUCAAAAGAGCUAUGGGAAGCUAUUUUUUUUCAAGCAACUUAGCAGAAUAAGUGAGGACGCAGAGGAGAAAUGAGCAGAAGAAGGAUGCACAAAUAAAUCAGUUCCUGCCUGCAGCUUAUGGAAAGACUCCAGCUACUUAGCGAAUAGGAUAUUUUUCUUGAUAUGUGUGCAACUUUUUGUCCACGGAUGUGUAGUUCAGUUCUGAAAUGUUAACCCCACAAGAUAUAAAUAUAAA